AGGGCCUCCAGGUCCACCCCACCAUGCCGUCUCCAGGCCAGCGCAGGGCAUUCUUCAGGGCAGCAGGCUGGGGUCUCCAUCCCAGGGUCUCCACCCAGGAUGCCUGGCAUACUCUCCUGGGGAGAUCUUAACACCCACCACAUCCCAGUCCUUGUUCCCCACAACUCUGGAGUACUGGUCUGGGUGGCACCUGGGCAUCAGCAUCUUUUAAAACUCCCCAGGGAUUCUGAAGUGAGGUGACAGGAGGUGGGGUCAGGAGCCACUGGUGAGAAGCCUUGAGAAAGUGGUGGCACAGCUCACCACCACCAGCUUGUGACCUUGAACAUGGGACAUAGCAGUGUGUUCCUUAGUUUUCUCGUUUGUGAAAUGUGGGCAGCAACAGUUCUCACUGGUUACUGGGAGGGUUCCGGGAGAUAGCACUGUAGAUUCCACAGCGUGCUGGGCCAGAGCCCAGCUCUGCUCCCAUGGUGCAGUUCCCACGGAUGGUCCCUAUUAUUUCUCUCUUUCCCACCCUGGCCAAGGGCAGAUUGUAGGGCCUUGAAGUCCCAGGGAGAAAAUCUCAAGGGCAAAGAGAUCCCUUUCAAGGACCACACCAUCAGUGGUGACCAGAGGCAGCUCCUUCUGCUCUGACAUGGAAACUGGUUG
rnacentral:lncRNA from 1 species